rnacentral:lncRNA from 1 species
ACGUACCCAAUAUACACCUAUAACGCACUGCCCCUGUUCCCCUUCCCACUCACCGGCUCCACGGCCACGCCCCACCUUCCACGGCCACGGCGGCGAGGACGAACGGGAGUGCGGCGGCGAGGCUCCGGUUUGAGGUGAUUGCUCUGUCGAUCUUUCUCUCUCUCUCUCUCUGGGUGCUUGCCUGGUAGGGUGCUAAAUCACAGCGGUCGUGGUUUUGGGAGGGUUUUGUUGCUUCUGUGACUGAGGACGAAUACCGGCGACACGGGAGGUGGGGGCGCGACGGCGGCGACUUGCUGCCGGUCGAGCACGGGGCUGGCCUCCUGUAGGCGAACCUUCUAGUGUUUCCGUAUUCUAGCCGUUGAGUGACGAUGCCCGAGGUGGUCGCCCAACCGGCGGCAUGCGGCCGGCGGCGGCGUGGCGGUGCCGUGAGGUCAAGGUGGCGGCCGCGGAGGAGACAGGACGGCGCGAUCGGCGGUGCUAGUGCAUUUAGCGUUUUCAGGGUCGGGGAUAUGGGGCCGAUCGACGGUGAGCGUGGAAGGGGAAUACAGCAGCCAGACGUAGCAGCAGCCAUCUGUGGAGGGUGCGCCGUGGUAGCAGGUAGUGGUGGCAGAGGCCGGAGGCCAGUCAUCGGCUGCAGUGUCGGAGCGUGACGUGAAAUCAAGAGGGGGCGACGAACGAUUUGGCUUCUGGAUGUAGAAUCGGAGAUAGAUCGAAGCGCGUGGCGGCGUGUUUCCGUUUGUGAAAAUAUAGGAGUGCUGUAUGGUCGAUGGCGUGCGCGACGGUGGAGCAGCACGGCGUAGUGGCGGGAGGAGGCCGUGGCCGCGCCAACCAUUCACUUGGGACUGUCGUGCAAGCUGCCCAUCCCUGCGCUCUUGCUGAAGUCCUGUGUUGCAGCUGCUCAGCUGUAUGCUUGUGACGAGCAUGUGGUGCUGGGGGCCGGCGGGGCACAUAAUUUCAAGCAAGCAGAUGAGGAUCUACAACCAGGAGGGUGUAUCCAUCCAUGAAUUCUAGUCCAACACCCGAGCAUUUAACCAAACUAGCACCUUUGAUUUCAUCCUGUGUCUGGCACGAUUCGUGCUCUGGAUCGUGUUCGUCUUCCCUAACAACAGCUGGGUCCGGUGAGCUGAGGUUUGGGUUUGGGGGUUUUCACCAGAGGUUGCACAGGAUUAGAGUGGUGGUAGAAGACAACCAACCGAUAGGAAAGGUCGGGGCGCGUGGAGGUGUUACACCAAGACGAGUAGCAUGGUCAGGCCUGGGCCGGCAUAAACUGAGACCCUGUUCAAAAUUCUAAAAUGGGGCCUAUCACUAUAAUCACUCGUCAAAUACAUAAUUUUAUAUAGAGCAAUUUGUUUACAAUUUUACGGACAUAGAAAAGAUGAAUAGGAAAAAUAUAAAAUUAAUGAACUUUAUAAAAGAGCAUUAAGAUUCUUUCCGAAUAAUAGAAUUAAAUUAAAAAUUUUAUAUUAUGUUCUGACAGGCAACAACCUAUUGACGUUGGCGACUAGAGUAGUUGUAUGGUAACCACAAGGAUCGGGUGAUAGGGCCUCUCCAUCACUUCCUCGGCAUCACUGCCGAACGUCGGCCUCAGGGUCUCUUCCUGCACCAGCGUCUGUACGCCAUCGACAUUCUGGAACGGGCUGGCAUGUCCGACUGCAAGCCCUGCUCCACGCCUGUUGACACCCAGACGAAGCUCUCUGAGGACGACGGCCCCCCGGUCGUCGACGCGACAUCUUACCGGAGCUUGACAGGCGCACUCCAGCACCUCACCUUCUCUCGGCCCGACAUCGUCUACGCCGUUCAGCAGGUGUGCCUUCAUAUGCACACACCACGGGAGCCCCACCUCACCGCUCUCAAGCGGAUUCUGCGCUACCUCCGGGGCUUACUCGACUACGGCCUCCUCCUCCGACCAUCCUCGACGUCGGAUCUUGUGGUCUACACCGACGUUGACUGGGUCGGCUGCCUCGAAACGCGUCGGUCCACCUCCGGCUAUGCCGUGUUCCUGGGCGCCAACCUCGUCUCUUGGGCCGCCAAGCGGCAGCCCGUCAUCUCCCGCUCCAGCGCUGAUGCUGAGUACCGCGCUGUGGCCAACGGCGUGGCCGAGGCUUCCUGGAUGCGCUAGCUCCUCCACGAGCUCUACAGCCCCCUCCAGCGCGCCACCCUAGUCUACUGCGACAACGUCAGCCGUCUACCUCUCCACUAAUCCCGUGCAGCAUCAGCGCACGAAGCAUGUGGAGAUCGACCUGUAUUUCGUCCGGGAGCGUGUCGCCGCAGGCGACGUUCGGGUCCUCAGCGUCCCUACAACACUGCAGUUCGCCGACAUCUUCACCAAGGGGCUACCAUCUAGUGUAUUCCUAGACUUUCGGUCCAGUCUCAACAUCUGUACAUGAUAGAGUUGUGACUGCGGGGGGGGGGGGUGUUAGAUACCCGUCCCUUGUAAUGGGCCUGGCCCAGUUGUUUGGUCUAUUAAUACACUGCCCACCCUAUUCUAGGGUUAGGGUUUUCACUAUUCUACAAAACAUCAUAUCCAACCGCACCAACGUGGGGUUACUCUGCCCAUUCGACCAAGUGUAUUUGCGACCCACUAGGGGUAAUUCUAGGAGAGCCAGAUCAUCUUUCCACCUCCUGAACCUGCCCAUCAUGGCCCUAUCCAGGUUGGGCUUUUUUCUAUCCUCAUUGCUCAAGACCAUGUUGAAAUCACCAACCGCCAACCACGGACCCGAGCAGUGAGUUCUAAUAGUUCUGAGAUCUUGAAGAAAGUGAUUUUUUUCCUGGUUGCCUUGGGGGGCAUAGACACAAGAUAACCACCAAGACGAUCCAUCUUCCAGACAGAAGUUAACCGAAACACAAUGAUCAUUCACUCUAGAGCUAUGAGAGAUAAUAUUAUUCUUCCAUGCCAUAAGAAUGCCUCCAUUCGCCCCAACCGAAGGUGAGAAGACAAAAUUAUCAAAAUCUGAUCCCAAGAGAUGGAGCACAAACAGCCUGGAAAUAUCCGGCAUUUUGGUUUCUUGAAUGCAAAUGACAUCAGCCUUAACAUUUUCUACCAAACAGCGAACCGCGUCCUACCUGGCCGAGCCAUUCAGGCCCCUCACGUUCCAACAGAGAUUUUUUUACGGAUCCAUUGGGAAACAAUUUAAACACAACCAACAAAAUACACAUAAAAGAUCAAACCGACAGAGAUGCUACCACACUCUGCAGGUCCUCUGGGAUGGACCAAUCGGAAAGAGUCGCCAAAGCUUUAAGUUGCAGAUCAGAAAGCCAUUUGUUGAAGACCUUGGCAUAAUACUCAAGAAUGUUGGAGGACAACAACUCAACCUGUUCUGACCUCAGGAGACCAAGCUCCUUUGUAAUUCCAAAUUUGCCUUUAUUGACAUAUUUAGGAGUUGACACACUCUCCACCCCAACCCCUGCGACACGCCUGCUGCGGUGAGGGAGGGCACUACAAGUAGGGGGGUCUGGGGCGACGCUUCCUCUUCUGCGGCACACCAAGGAUAGAAUCGACGGGCUUUGACAUCCUAUCAGCGAAGCACUAAUAAAGCACAUGAAGAAAAAAUCAUCUAAAUUGUGUUGUCAAAUUGGAUCCCUCCCGGUCUGAGCUCAUCUCAACAGACCAUGAAGUUUAGAUUUGCACAUAUAACCAUAUACAUGACACAACUUCUAGACAAUGAUUUCACAUACAGAAAAGAGCAUGCUUACAUCCAGUCAGAUUUUGACUACUGUGUUGUACGUUAAUCUCUCUGUUUGAGUAAAGGGCACUGUUUAGAUAAUCUUUGUUAAAAGAAAAGGCGUUCACCAAGAGCACAUGAGGAUUCAUAAGUCGAACAUGUUUACUCAAUCUUUAUUUCUUUGUUUCAAUCUCACUAAUUCGUGGAUUUAUGCAUGAUCAUAUUGCACAUAUAUAUAUAUCUGGUCCCGUCCUCGUGAGCCAGCAAAGACUGAUCGUUCGCUUUCGACCCGGCCGAGUCCACUACGUGAUGCUUGACGCCGCACCGGGACAAUCCUCGUCGUGGACCACGGAACACCACGUUUUGUAGCGUUCUGGAUCUUUCCCCAAGCGAGUCAUGAGUUAACGGGAUCACGGCUAGGCAGCACACCACCAUCGUUUCUAGUGGCUGGGCAGGCCAGAGGUUGAUGAAGGAGUGUGACAGCUCGCAAUAGCAUAAUUGCAUAAAUAUGCGUCCGGAGACAUAGAUGCCUGUCCAUGAUGGAUCGAACUAGCGUUAGGACAUUCUACUGCAACUUAAUCAAUUAACUGAAUACAAUUUCUUAUUGUCAGUUCUCGAUUUGUUGUAAAACUGUAAAAUCAAGUACUUACUGAUCCUAACACUAAAGUAUUUAGCAUUAAAAAACAACAAAUACAGUCAUAUAUUCAAUGAAAGCAGACAAUAUGUUUUCUAGGGCUACCAAGUCAGCAAACUAAAUCAAGUUAAGCAGCAAAACUGAUAUGAGAGAACUCUUUCAUGUUAAGAUUUAGCCGUUAAAACCAUCAAAAACAGGAUCACAUGACAAUAAUCGCUAAGGCAAAUUUUGCACACAUUACUUGCCAUUAAGCAAGACUCAACUGAUGGUUACAUCAAAAGGUUAAGAUAAGCCAGCACAUACAGAAGACAACAUCAACAACUAUUCUCAGAGCCUCAAGAUCACUAGGUUCAUCCGGCAAAAGUACAUCUUGAAAUCAGAUAACAACAUCAACAACUAUUCAUAGAGACUCAGGAUCAUCGGGUUCAUCCAGUAAAAGUACAUCCUUAAAUCCAAGUUCUGGAACUGGUACUGGUUUGUGCCUGGUCGCCCUCUCCAGCUCAGCCAACUCCUCAUUGCUAAGUAUCAUUAUGCUAUAUGACCUUAUAAACAACAGCUCCCUUCUAGAUCCUAUCACAUUGUCUAGUGUGUCAAGUACUCUCAGUUCAUUUGAUCCAGACAUUCUGACUUUGAUUUCUUGGAAAUAUGCUGGAGCGGCAUUACUCAAAGCUGUCAGCGGCCUUUCUUGUCAUAGUGCCAGCAAGUGUCGUUAACAGUGAUCUCAGUCAUGAAGUAGGAGCCAGUGGCUACAAUCAAUCUCAGAUGAAUUCUCGUCAUCCCGAAUUCUCUGUCCCACAACAAGGUAUAUGGAUCUGAAUCGAAAUGGCUUUGCAAAUAUCACGAUUACUUUUAGAAGAUAUGUUAUCGCUCGAUCAUUAUCAUUCUUAUUAAGUAACCUUUCCCUGGUAUCCUAGUUGCGGUCUUCAAACCUGGCGAGCACACCAAUCAUAUCUUGCAAAACAACCAUAGGUCUGAGAGUUGUUUGUGAACUUUUAGAUGAAUGUAUUAGCUUGUGUAACCGAUAUAUAACAACAUGUGUAUACGACAACAACUCUAGAUAAAGACAGCGACAGAUCCAAGAAUGGAUUAAUGAGAGUAGGGGGACUAAAUUUUUUUAAACUAGACUAAGAUAAACCUAAAUGAUAUAAUUUAUUAUAUCAAUGAAAAGCAAAAGUAUUGAAAAGAAUGAAUUUUACUUUAUAUGGCUCUCAUUAAUAUAUUGUGUUUUGUUAGAAUUAUCUUUUUAUUAAUUAGAAAAUUAUCCAUCUUAUCCCUAUAAGGACUUGUUCGGUUAGGGUUGGAUUGAGAGGGAUUGAAGGGAAUUCAAUCCCCUUCUAUACAAAUUUAAAUAGGAGGGGAUUUAAUCCCCUCCAAUCCCCCUUAAACCCCUUUAAACCGAACAAGCCCUGAAUAUAAAAAUUAAUUUUAUCAACAAUACUAAUAAAUAAUUGGUGAAAUAGACUAUAAAAUUGAUGAACGUAGCAGUUAAAUAAUAAACGGUAGCUAACAGGUUUAGGCACGAUUGAAGAAACAAAAUUAAUUUACAGCAGUCAAGUAGGCAAGGACCAUGCAACAUAAUUUUAUCAACAAUCCAUUCUAUCGUCUAGCAUGCGAGCUGCUGACUAGUUUUAGGCGGCUCGCUGCUAUGGGGUAUUCCUUGCUGGCUAGGUCUAGCUUGGAAAAUAAAUGUUCUACUUCAUCAAAUAGCUCUACACUUCAUAAAAACAGUGUGUGUGAGUGAUGUGGCUGUGUGGAGGAGGUGCUGGUUGUGUUAACACGCACCUCCGAACUCUUUCAGAAAUUGCAUUCAGAACACUGUGUAUGAAACACAUAAAACUAAAGCAGGCUAAACAACAGACUUUAAUAAGCAACAAGCUUUAAUGCCUUAUCAAACAAAAAUAAGUUGUAGUGUAACACAGUACAUGUCACCAUGUACAGAGCUGAAGUCUAAACUGACACAAUUGUCUUGAAUCUCAUUCGAAAGUUUAGCAAGCUUAGAACGGGUGGGUCACAUAUUGCAGCACCAGACCAAGGUCACGAGUGCCACAGUUGACAACCAUACCACCUUAUUUACCCCGCUCGGAUGAUAAGUAGUCAUUAGUUCCUCUUUCCUCAGUCAUGAAGCAGGAGUUGGUGGCUUCAAUCAGGGCUCGUUUGGUAGAGCUCCGCUCCAUGAUUCUCUAGCUCCGAGAGCUGAUUCUCUAAUAGAGUGAUUGUUAGUGAUUCUCUAUCGGAAGUGAAUCUAUUUGACGAAAACAUUUUGGCAAAUAGGUUGUGAAGUGAUUCCUGAGGGGUUAAAGAGUGGGGAGCGAGUUGGGGGUGGUGGGAAGCAGGUUUUUUUGGCUCCCACUUUCUAGUACAAAAUAGAGACUAGAUUCACUCCACUCUCACCAUAAAGCAGUUCAGAUUUUUAUCGUUUGGCUCGGCAGGAGUGGUUCUCGUUGGGAGCGGAGCUCUGAGAGCUCUGCCAAACGCCUCCUUAACCUCAGAUGAAUUCUCGUCAUCUCGAAUACUCUGUCUCACAGCAAGGUAUAUGGAUCUGAAUCGAAAUGCCUCUACAAAUAUCACGAUUGCAUUCAGAAUAGAUGUUAUCGUUUCAUCAUUAUCAUUUUUAUCAAGUAACCUUCCUCUGGUAUCACGAUUGCGGUAUUCAAACCUAGCGAGCACAUCAAUCAUAUCUUGCAGCACAGUCAUACCUCCGGGAGUUGUCUGGUAACUAUUGAAUGAAUGUAUUAGCUUGUGUAACAGAUAUAUUAUAACAUGUGUACACGGCAACAACUAUAGAUAAAGAUAGUGACAUAUCCAAGAAUGAAUUAACGAAAGGAGGGGCUAAAUUUUUUUAGACUGGACUAAGAUAAAGCUAAAUCAUAUAAUUCAUAUAUCAAUGAAAAACAAGAACAUUUAAAAUAACAAAUUUUGCUUUAUACAACUCUCAUUAGUAUAAAGUGUUUUGUUAGAAUUAUUUUUUAUUAAUUAGAAAACUAUACAUCAUAUCUCAAUAAAUAUUGGAGAGAGAGGAGAUUGCAGUCUCUUAUUGGAGAGAGGAGAUGACGGUCUCUUCGGCUCCUCGCCCUUUCGCCUCCCCCUCCCUCCUCCGCACCGGCGCCCGCCCUCUUCCCUUGUCUUCCCCUGUGACGCCGGGUCCCCCCUCCUUGUCUCCUCUGGCUCGCCCGUUCACCUCGUCUGGCCGCUCCAAAGCUCAGCGUUGGGUUGCGGCGAGCCCCUCCUCUUCAACGGCGAUUCCUGGAGAGGUCGCUGGUCCAGUUCCGUAGCGAACGUUGAAGAUGGUGGCUCGUGCAGACUCGUCUAGGCAGGCAUCGCGACCUUCUCUAGACGCGGAGGGCUGGGUUGUGGUUCAGUCUCGUCGCCACCGGCGCGGCCCUCUACCUCACCGUCGAUCGAUCCCUCAAGAUCUCUGGGGUAGGUGUUUCAACUAUCUGGCGUCCUCCCAUAGGGCGGUGGAGUGCUGAUGCCCGGUGCUGCUUCGCCUGCAGGUCGUUGGGGGCAUCGUGCUGCUAGGUGCCCGGUUCGUCUUACCCCAGCGAGCUCCAACCAUAAGGUUCCUGUGUCUGUGUGGGAUCGUCUUGGACCAUUGCUGACCAAAGUCUGUAUGCCCAAGGUUCGACCGGAAUUGGUGUGGCGUGAGGUCUCCUCUCAUGGCGCGACGUUCGAAAGGUCGGGGCCACCGGGCGGUCGCAAGGCAGUGCCAAAAAGCGUCGCCACUGCACGCGGGGCAUAAGGCCUAAGGUUCCCUCCGCACCGGCAGCGGGUGCACCUGUCCAAAGUCCUCUUUCACCGAAGUCGGUUGAGGUGUAAGCCACCCCCAGCUCCUGGAAGAGGUUGCUACGGAUUUUCCUCAUGGUUGUGUUCUCGAGCGGUCUGAGGCGCUUGUCAGAGAGGAAUUCAGACUCCAACACUGUGCUUUGUUCGUUGUGGUCACUGGUUCGCGACCUCAGUGAAUGCUCUUGCAGCGGUGGCAGCAGCUGGGUUCGGUUUGCUGGAGAACUCCUCAUUACAUCGUUCUUUCCAGGAGGACAUCGUGUUGAUCUUUGACUCGGAGCGCAUAUCAAACAUGGUUAACGGUGUUGUGCUCAACUCGCCUUCAGGUUCGUUCAAGUUCAUCAGGUGGUCUAGGCUUGCUCAUGCAGAUAUAGUUACGUUCCCCUCCCUUGUCAUGGUUGAGUUCAGAGGGGUCUCGGUUCAUGCUUAGGGUCUGAUUACUGCUCAGAACCUGCUGCGAGAUCACUUUGUUGAGGUGGAGCUUCAUCCUGACUCUAUCAACCGCCUCGAUUUUUUCUGCUAGGGGUGGUUCCCGCCGGGGCUCUUGCCGAUCAACCGGACGCAGAGACGGGAGUAGGAACACCUCCAUGAACGACCGCUGCGGAACCCGACAAACGACCUCUCCAGGACUCGCCGCUGAAGAGGAGGGGCUCGUCGCAGCCCAGCACUGAGCCUUGGAGCGGCCAGACGGUACGAACGGGCAAGCCAGAGGAGACAAGGACGGGGGAACCCGACGCCACAGGGGAAGGGGAGGUGGUUUCCGUACCCGAAAUGGGCGCCGACGAGGGGCUGGAGGGAAGGGGCGGGCACCGGUGCGGAGGAGGGGGAGGCGGAAGGGCGAGGAGCCGAAGAGACCGUCGUCUUCUCUCUCCAAUAACAGACUGUCAUCUUCUCUAAUAAAUAAAAAGAUAAAUCUAACAAAACAAUUCAUACUAAUGAGUGUCAUAUAGAGCAAAAUUUAUCCUUUUGAAUACUUUUGUUUUUCAUUGAUAUAAUGAAUUAUAUCAUAUAAAUUUAUCUUAGUCCAGUCUAAAAAAAUUUAGCCCCCCUCCUGCCGUUAAUCCAUUCUUGGAUCUGCCAUUUUUUUAUUUAGAGUUGUUACCAUGUACACAUGUUACAUAUCUGUUACAUAAACUAAUACGUUCAUCUAAUAGUUCCCAGACAACUCUUGGAGGUAUGGUUGUGCUGUAAGAUAUGAUUGGUGUGCUUGCCAGGUUUGAAGACCGCAAUCGUGAUACAAGAGAAGUUAUUUGAUAAGAAUGAUAAUAAUUGAGCGAUGACAUCUCUUCUAAAAGCAAUCAUGAUAUUUGUAAAAGCAUUUCAAUUCAGAUCCAUAUAGCUUGUUGUGAGGCAGAGAAUUCAGGAUGACGAGAAUUUAUCUGAGAUUGAUUGUAGCCACUGGCUCCUGCUUGAUGAUUGAGGGAGAGAGCUAGCGACUGCUUGUCAUCCGAGCGGGGGCAAUAAAUAGGUGUGGAUGUCAACUAUGGCACUCGAGACCUUGGCCUGGUGCUACAAUCUGUGGCCCACAUGUUUUUUCAAGCUUGCUGAACUUUCGAAUGAGAUUUAAGAUAAUUGUGUCAGUUUAGACUUCAGCUCUACACAUGGUGACAUACUGUGCUGCACUAUAUCUUGUUUUUAUUUGAUAAGGUAUUACAGUUUGUUGCUUGUUAAAGUCUGCUGCUUAGCCUGGUUUAGUUUCAUGUGUCUUAUACACCGUGUUCUGAAUGCAAUUCAUGAAAGAGUUCAGAGAUGCGUGUUAGCACAACCAGCACCUCCUCCACACAACACAUUACUCACACACACUGUUUUUAAUGAAGUGUGCAGUUGUUUGAUGAAGUAUAAUAUUUAUUUCCCAAACUAGACCUAGCCAACAGGCCAUAACCCAUAGCAGCGAGCCGUCUAGACCUAGCCAGCAUGGAUAGUUGAACAAAUUCUUCUGCGUGGUCCUUGCCUCUUUGUGUACUGUUAAUUAAUUUUGUUUCAUCAAUCGUGCCUAGACCUGCUAGAUAGCGUUCAUUAUUUAACUGAUAGGUUAAUCAAUUUUUAUAGCCUCCUUCACCAAUUAUUUAUUAGGUUUGUUGAUAAAAUUAUUUUUUAUAUUAAUAGGGAUAGGAUGAAUAGUUUUUAAAUUAAUAAAAAGAUAAUUCUAACAAAACAAUUUAUAAUAAUAAGAGUUAUAUAUAGCAAAAUUUAUCCUUUUCAAUACUUUUGUUUUUUUAUAUAUAAUGAAUUAUAUCAUUUAGGUUUUUUUAUUCUAGUCUAAAAAAUUUUAGCUCCCUCCUCCCGUUAAUCCAUUCUUAGAUUUGUCACUGUCUUUAUCUAGAUUUGUUGUCGUAUACACAAGUUGUUACAUAUCUGUUACACAAGAUAAUACAUUCAUAUAAUAGUUCACAGACAACUUUCGGAGGUAUGAUUGUGCUCCAAGAUAUUAUUGAUGUGCUUGCCAGAUUUGAAAACCACAAUCGUGAUAGCAGAGGAAAAUUAUUUGAUAAAAAUGAUAAUGAUCGAGCGAUGAUAUUUAUUCUGAAAACAAUCGUGAUAUUUGCAGAGUCAUUUCGAUUCAGAUCCAUAUACCUUGUUGUGAGAUUAAGGAUUCGGGAUGACGAGAAUUCAUCUGAGAUUGAUUGUAACUACUGGCUCCUGCUUCAUGACUGUGGUCAUUAUUUACGGCACUUGAUGGCACUAUGCCAAGAAGGGUCGCUGUCAGGUUUGAAUACUGUCGCUAUAGCAUAUUUCUAGGAAAUCAAAGUUAGAAGACCUGGAUCAGAUAAACUGAAAGUCCUUGGCACACUAGUCAAUCCGAUAGGAUCUAAAGGCAGUUGUUGCUUGUAAGAUCAUAUAACAUAUUGAUACUUAGUAAUGAGGAGCUGACUAAGCUGGAGAAGCGGCCGGACGUAAUCCAGUACCAGUUCUAGAAACAGGAUUUCAGGAUGUAGUUUUGCCGAAUGAACCCGAUGAUCCUGAGGUUCUGUGAAUAGUUGUUAAUGCUGUGUUCUGAUUUCAGGAUGUACUUUUGCCGGAUUAACCUGGUGAUCUUGAGACUGAAAAUAGUUGCUGCUGCUGUGUUCUGUAUGCGUUGACUUAUCUUAACCUUUUGAUGUAACCAUUAGUUGAGUAUUGCUUAAUGGCAAGUAAUGCGUACAAAUUUGGCCGUGACAAUUACUGUCAUGUGAUCAUGUUUCUGUUGGUUUUAACGACUAAAUCUUAAUAUGAAGUAGUUCUCUCAUAUCAGUUCUGCUACUUAACUUGAUUUGGCUUGCUGGCUUGGUAGCCCUAGAAAACCUACUGUCUGCUUUCAUUGACUGUAUGACUGUACUUGUUGUUUCCUUCAUGUUAAAUACUUUAGUGUUAGGAUCAACAAACAAGUACUUGAUUUUACAGUGGUAAAACAAAUCGAGAACUGACUAUAAGAAGUUGUGUUCAGUUAAUUAAUUAAGUUGCAGUAGAAUGUCCUGACGCUAGUUCGAUCCAUCAUGCGCAUCUAGCUAUGUCCCCCGACGCAUGUUUAUGCAAUUAUUCUCUUGCGAGCCGUCACAUCCCGCCAUCAACCUCUGACCUGACCAGCCACUAGAAACGGUGGUGGUGUGCUGUCUAACCGUGAUCCUGUUAACCCAUGACUCGCUUGGGUCAAGAUCCAGAACGCUACAAAACGUGGUGUUCCGUGGUCCACGGCGAGGAUUGUCCCGCUGCGGCAUCAAGCAUCACGUAGUGGACUCGGCCGAGUCGAAAGCGAAUGAUCAGUCUUUGUUGGCUCACGGGGACGGGACCAGAUUUUGAAUCUGCUUGGAUUCAACUAUGAAAUUCGAGGAAAAAACAUUGUAUUAUAUCAUACUAGUAAAUUGGUCACAUCCUGCCCGACUCUUUCACCGAUAUGUUUUUAUAUUUUAAAAAUGUUGUUUUAUAUAUAUAUCUCUACUACUUAUUAAGGCUGCAAUAAUAGUCGGUCAUUCCGCGUUCUGCCCAUUCCGUGUUCUGCCAUUCCAUUCCGAUUCCCUCCUCCCCGCGCACUUCCCAUUCUCAUUCCCCCGUACAGCCGGCGCCUAGCUAAAAUUAAAAAAAUAAACAUGGCCCAAGGGGAUUUGAACCCACAACCUCUCAAGCAAAUGCUAGCAGUAGCUACUACUACACCACAUGUGUGUUUAUGUCUAUAUCUAUAACAGAAAACACAUCUACUACAUCUCUCCCUAAGCCCACCUGCUAUCCUUGCACAAUGCGUAGUAUUAGAUAAGUAUCACCGAGAUUCUUGAACUAUAUUUUUGGAUGGAGUGAGUAGUAUUUAAAGAAGAGCCUUAUAUGCAAUUUCUUUUGUUUGAAUAAUAUUUUCAACUUAAAUUCCUUUUUUGCAUGCGUGACAUUUAUUCUUCGUAAUAUCUUUUUCCAUGGAUCUGACUUGUGAGUCAUUUUUAUAAACCAACGCUAAACAUGAAUCCAUGUUUCUUACUUGAAAACCCCGAACAAACAUCAUUAGCAGGAGGCACUCGCGUUGGGGUCGCUCAUCGACGAUAAGAAGAAACUUGGCGACUGCCAGUUCGACCUCUAGAAACAGCCUUACGUGGCCGCAUCUGCCGCUAUGUACGACAAGCUCUGGCGCCGCCACCGCUUGGAUGUGGUGCAGAGCGGCUGCUCCGUGCUGUCCAUCGUCAAGCAGGGGGACUUCAUGGUCGUCGCCAACAUCGGUGACUCUCGGGUUGUUCUGGGCACUGCAUUCAGCGACGACGCCAUCACGUCGUCCAGCUCAUCGUCCACCUGAAGCCCAACCUGCCACGUAAGUCGCUACUGACUAGCCAUGAAUUCUUGUGCGCUGAGACGAUAGCCGUUGCUGACGUUGUAUGAGUGUCCUUGAACACGAUGUAUGUAGAGGAGUAGCGCAUCCAGUGGUGCAACGGUCAGGGGUACUACCUUGCUGAUGAGUCUGGGGUGCACUUCGUUUUAGCCCAGCCAAGAGUCAUCAGUACUCGGUAUGUCGCGCGCGUUCGAUGACUACUAUAUCGAGGACUGUGGCGUCAUCUUGGCGCCAGAGGUGACGCAGAGGAGGACCGACAACAAUGACCAGUUCGUCAUCCUCGCCACCGUUGGGGUAGCUUUUGUGCCGGCUUGCCUUUAAUUCUCUUCGCAAACACACACUUGCCUUUUUGUUUAAGCAAAAGCGUAUGGUGGUAUGUGUUUGAUGACUAACGAUGUACGAUGUAAUUUCUUCCGGUAUGUAUGGAACGUGCUCUAUAAUGAUGAGACCAUGCAAAUCGUGACAUAUAUUGAAGUCUGCAUGAUACUGAUGGUUGCAAUGUAGUGGUGAAACAGAUAGAUUAUAAAUAACAAAAUUUAUGUAUGGUCAGAAUCACAAAUUGAUUAUGAAACAUUUUCUCAUAACGGUAUAAACACAUUUUGUAUAUAAGUUAUCGUAGUAUACUCGUAUUAUAUAUUUCCGUUGCAACGCACGGGCAUUCAGCUAGUGUACAAUAUAAUUAUGCAUAAAUCAAUGAAUUAGUGAGAUUGAAACAAAGAAAUAAAGAUUGUGAUUGACUAAACAUGUUUGACUUACAAAUCCUCAUGUACUUUUGGUGAACGCAUUUCUAAAAGUUAUGUCAUAUAUAUGGUUGUAUGUACAAAUUUAAACUUCAUGUUAUGUUGAGAUAAUCUUAGACUAGAAAGAAUCCAGUUUGACAACACAAUUUAGAUGGAUUCGUUUUCAUGUGCUUUAUUAGUGCAUAUCACAGUAUUUGUUGUAUGUGUGUCUUAAUGCUUUCCAAGUAAUUCUUACUAUACAUAUAAUGUACAACACAAUGGUUGUAUGUGUCUCCAUGUUGUCUGAAUAGCACAUAUAGGUUGUGUUGUUGCUUUUGUGCUUCAGGUAGCUAGCAGGUGCUUGUGUAUUUCUGGCAAACUACCUGCAUGCGUUCUCCAGACAAGCUCCAGGUCCAAGGAAUUGUAGGCAGCUAUCAGGUGCUUCUGUGUUUCAGGCAGAAGACAUGUUUAUUUGACUACCAUAGAUAUGAGGGAAAACAGUGUGAUUCAUGAUCAUGUUGGAAAAGGGGGAAAAUAGAAAUUGUAUAAUUUGUCGGAGAAUAGGAAGAAGAAUUGGUACAAAUAUAGCUGUUUUCGGAUAGAAGGUGCAGCCUAUAUAAUUUGACUCCCGAAGUGACUGGCAAACCAUUAAGGAAGAAUUCAGGGUUGUGUUGUAUAGGUUGAGGAGGUUGUGAUUAACUGAAAAAUAAAUGGUAUGUGUACCUAAAUAUUCAUGAUGGAGGAACAUAUGUAAAUUUAGGUGAAGAAUUUUUUUGAUACUAAACACGGUGUGUGUGUGUCUAUGUACAUAUAUGUGUACGAAGUGCACAUGGAAUUGUUUACGUAUUAGCAUAAGUGGACAUAUACAUGGUGUGAGUGAUGAUUUGUACUUUUUUCAUUGAAGAUCAUAUUUGAAAGGAAAAAACAGUAAUUGUAUAAUUUGUUGAAGAACAUGAAGAAGAAUUGGUAGAGCAUACCUGUUGUUCGGAUAGAAGCUGCAGGCUAUGUAAUUUGAUUCCUGAAGAUUCCAAGCAGUUAGUGACUGGCAAAAAAACAGUAGUGGAGAAUUCAGGUUUAUGUUAUAUAGGUUGAGGGGGUUUUGAAUAAUAAAAAAAUAAAUGGUGCGUGUACACAGAUAUUCAUGGUGGAGGAACAUUUACAAUUUUAGAGGAAGAAUCUUUUUUGACGCUAAACAUGGUGUUUUUGUAUCUAUGUACAUAAAUGGGUACGGAGGAACAGAAUGUAGUGUUCUAGAUGGAGGACUUUAUUAUUUCACAAUGUAAAUAAACAUGAUAUAUGUGGUAUGAACCUUGGAUGCAUUUUAAGUUAACUUGGUAGCAUUCAUAACAUGUAUGGUGAAGUUACGGUGAAGUAUUUUGAUCAUUAAGAAAUAUAAUGAUCAUAAUUGUUCUCGUCAAAAGAAACUUUGGAAGAAUAAUAUAGUUAUAGAGGCAUGCACAGUAUGUAAAUUAGUGUGUUGGUAUUGAAACAAAUACCUAUGUAAUCAUAUCUAUUGCUAUUUCGGAAUAAAUUCCUAUGUAAGUUUAAACAAUGCUUCUAUUCUCUGAAUAUGUAUUUGUGGGGAUUGACUGAUUUUUUUUCUGUAUGUAUUGAGCAACGUUUUUAGUAGAUGUAUGCACGUGCAAACUGUUUAUAUGUAAACAUUCUGUGGAUAUUUACAUAAUUUAAAUAAAAGAUGUCUGGUGAACUGCAAUUUCUUUUCUGGCAUUGUGGAAAAAUAGCAGCUUGUAUUCUAUUUAUAGUAGAGACAACAUUGUAUUUAUCGGAGAAAGGAUACUUGUCUCGGCUCGGAUGGAAGCUGUAGGCUGGCCAACGGAUUUGGUGACGAUUGGAAAGAUAAAAAAAAUAUGAGAAUUUAUUGUUUGCAGAUUGAGGAGAAGCAAGAAUAAUAUUGUGAUGCAGCUUGUGUUAAAAUGUAGAAGUGAGCAUACCUGUUGUAGUUGGAGUAGCAGUCACUGGUUGAGUGGAGAUAUGUUUUCGCAGCGUGCUGGCGCGAACUGCAGGAUCAGUUAGAAGAUUCUAACUAGGUUAGUAGUUAUUGUCGAUGUAAUUUUAUGGUCAUUUAUGCAUAUGCACAGGAUCAGUUAGAAGAUUCUGACAACACAACAUCUUUUAUUGUUAGAAGAUUCUGACAACAAAUCAUUUGUAGAUAUUGUGUUAGGGAAUUAUACAAAUCAUUUGUUGUUUCAGAAGUUAAUUGCAUUGACAAUUCAAUAUGCAGAUAUUGUGUCAGGGAAUUAUAUAGUAGCUAUUCACUAAGAAGUACAUUUGCAGUACACAAUGAGAAGAAGCAACGCAGUACAUAAUGAGAAGAAGCAACGAAUAUGAACUGCAGCAUCAGUUAGAUGACAGGUCGGUGAUACUGAAUAUUUUCAUUUUUCGAACAUGUUUUGUGUUUCCUUGAAGCACUUCAAUUCUGAUUGGUGAUCCUAUGUUCGUUUGUGAUAUGCCGAUUAUACCAGAGGGAUGGCCCAAACACUACCAAGCACUUUAACUAGUUGUUGCUGAUGCAUCGAGCUAUCUCAUCAUCGAGCCAUGCACUUUGCCUGUUUUAGUGUUUUGUAUGCGUACUGAUUAUGCUGCUCAAAGCUUACCUCCUGUUUCGCUUCAGAAUCCAUGUUUAGAACUGACAGGCCCUGCGCGUGCUGUCAUGAUGUAUGGUCGUGUGAUAUUUGAGGCUUCAUUGUAUGUGAAAGGUGCUACUAGAUCUGAUGACAAAGAAUUGAGCCUUCUAGCUAUUACUUCAUUGGGGAAUUUGUCUGAUGCUCACUCAUCCUUG